rnacentral:rRNA from 1 species
GAACGAGCGAGAGAGAGCUUGCUUUCUCGAGCGAGUGGCGAACGGGUGAGUAACGCGUGAGGAACCUGCCUCAAAGAGGGGGACAACAGUUGGAAACGACUGCUAAUACCGCAUAAGCCCACGGCUCGGCAUCGAGCAGAGGGAAAAGGAGCAAUCCGCUUUGAGAUGGCCUCGCGUCCGAUUAGCUAGUUGGUGAGGUAACGGCCCACCAAGGCAACGAUCGGUAGCCGGACUGAGAGGUUGAACGGCCACAUUGGGACUGAGACACGGCCCAGACUCCUACGGGAGGCAGCAGUGGGGAAUAUUGCACAAUGGGGGAAACCCUGAUGCAGCGACGCCGCGUGGAGGAAGAAGGUCUUCGGAUUGUAAACUCCUGUUGUUGGGGAAGAUAAUGACGGUACCCAACAAGGAAGUGACGGCUAACUACGUGCCAGCAGCCGCGGUAAAACGUAGGUCACAAGCGUUGUCCGGAAUUACUGGGUGUAAAGGGAGCGCAGGCGGGAAGACAAGUUGGAAGUGAAAUCUAUGGGCUCAACCCAUAAACUGCUUUCAAAACUGUUUUUCUUGAGUAGUGCAGAGGUAGGCGGAAUUCCCGGUGUAGCGGUGGAAUGCGUAGAUAUCGGGAGGAACACCAGUGGCGAAGGCGGCCUACUGGGCACCAACUGACGCUGAGGCUCGAAAGUGUGGGUAGCAAACAGGAUUAGAUACCCUGGUAGUCCACACCGUAAACGAUGAUUACUAGGUGUUGGAGGAUUGACCCCUUCAGUGCCGCAGUUACACAAUAAGUAAUCCACCUGGGGA